GAUGAACGCUGGCGGCGUGCCUAAUACAUGCAAGUCGAGCGAACGGACGAGAAGCUUGCUUCUCUGAUGUUAGCGGCGGACGGGUGAGUAACACGUGGAUAGCCUACCUAUAAGACUGGGAUAACUUCGGGAAACCGUAGCUAAUACCGGAUAAUAUUUUGAACCGCAUGGUUCAAUAGUGAAAGACGGUCUUGCUGUCACUUAUAGAUGGAUCCGCGCCGCAUUAGCUAGUUGGUAAGGUAACGGCUUACCAAGGCAACGAUGCAUAGCCGACCUGAGAGGGUGAUCGGCCACACUGGAACUGAGACACGGUCCAGACUCCUACGGGAGGCAGCAGUAGGGAAUCUUCCGCAAUGGGCGAAAGCCUGACGGAGCAACGCCGCGUGAGUGAUGAAGGUCUUCGGAUCGUAAAACUCUGUUAUUAGGGAAGAACAUAUGUGUAAGUAACUGUGCACAUCUUGACGGUACCUAAUCAGAAAGCCACGGCUAACUACGUG
rnacentral:rRNA from 1 species